CCCUACGGGGCGCAGCAGUGGGGAAUAUUGCACAAUGGGGGAAACCCUGAUGCAGCGACGCCGCGUGGGUGACGAAGUAUUUCGGUAUGUAAAGCCCUAUCAGCAGGGAAGAAGAUGACAGUACCUGACUAAGAAGCCCCGGCUAACUACGUGCCAGCAGCCGCGGUAAUACGUAGGGGGCAAGCGUUAUCCGGAUUUACUGGGUGUAAGGGGAGCGUAGACGGCAGUGCAAGUCCGGAGUGAAAGCCCGGGGCUCAACCCUGGGACUGCUCUGGAAACUGUAAAGCUGGAGUGCGGGAGGGGCG
rnacentral:rRNA from 1 species